AAACAAACCUGGCUGCUGUCGUUGGUGAGAGGUAUAUAUACGGAGCUAAAGCCUGGGCGUUAGCCAUGUACGUAGCUCCGCACAUUGCAGCAACGUCAGGAACAGCUGACGGUGUCUUGAUAUCCUCGCGGAUCUGACACGCGGGGUGGUUUCAACCAAAGGGGCGCUGCACCACCUCGAGGAGGAGGGCAUCAGGGCGGCUACGCCGAUCGAGGUGGCUAUGCGUAUCGGGGCGGUUACGCCGAUCGAGGUGGCUAUGCGGAUCGGGGCGGUUACGCUGACCGAGGUGGCUAUGGAGAUCGGGCGGUUACAUGAACUUCUGCCAUGCAUCACUUUCUUUUGACCCAGACUUUGAAGAGAUUGAGGAUCCACGGGAUAGGCGCCCGACCGGGCAUCAGUAUCGUGAAAACCGUAGCCAUGAAGAAGAGCAUUAUAAAAAAGAUGUUAGUUACUGAGACGAGCCUCUAUGCGAGCGCAACUUAUCUGGUCGUAAUAAAUGAGAGGAAGAAAAACGUGAGGCAUCUGGCGGCCGUCAGAUCUUUCCAUUGGUGGUGUCUCCAAAAGCAAGAAACAUGUCUGCUCUCAGGAAGAUGCAACGACUGCCAAGGCUACCGAGGUGUUGCCCCCAGCUCCAAUAAUGGAUACUAGUGGUCAAGAUGGGGUUGAUGACUCACUCUUAAAUUGGCAUGCAGAGUUUGAGCCGCAGCAUGAUAAACCAUUGAGGGCCGUCAAAGGCGUUCUCACGGCGUUCUCAGUUUUUGAUGGAUAGUGUGGAAGAAUGCAUCACAUUAUGCCUUACACACAUGGACUUGGAAAGAAGCCCAAUAGUACUAGUAACAGCAAGUGCACCUUCAGAGUCAACCUGCUUGGUUCCUACUCCUCUUAUUGCGUUGACACGUCACACACGCCGUCGUGUGGCUAUCAUGGAUAAUCUUGAUGCUGAGAUCACACCGUCUAAGGAAUACUCGAUACUAGUGCCCUUGGAGCCCACAGUUCAGGAGGUAUUAUUUAGUGCAGAUGGCUCACUUGGCUAUACCACAUCAACAUUAGCUGAAGCAUUCAUUAUAAAUCCUCAGAAAACAUGGUUAAACAAUGGCACAAUUCAGCUGAAGGCCGAAACAUCUCAUCGCGAUAAGCCUACUGAUGUGGGCAUGUGCACUGUUAGUGUCCAAAGAUGAUAGAAACAUCUUGACACGUGAUGGAAUUAUACGUGACAUCCUGGGCUCGCUGCAUGAGAUCCCAUUAAAAUGGUCGUUGAUACAAGCUUUUUUAUCCUUCUUAAACUCAGAAGGUCACACCUUGAUGACAAC